rnacentral:rRNA from 1 species
UGGUGGAGCGAUUUGUCUGGUUAAUUCCGAUAACGAACGAGACCUCGGCCUGCUAACUAGCGACAAGGACUUGCCGGGCGGUGGACGUGGGGCACGUAUGGCUUCGGUCGUGCGUGCUACCGCGCCGCCGUCCUGUCCUUGGCCCGCUUCUUAGAGGGACACUCGGCGUCGCAGCCGACGGAGGUUUGAGGCAAUAACA